rnacentral:rRNA from 1 species
UACAGAGGUCUCAAGCGUUGUUCGGAUUCAUUGGGCGUAAAGGGUGCGUAGGCGGCGCGGUAAGUCGGGUGUGAAAUCUCGGAGCUUAACUCCGAAACUGCAUUCGAUACUGUCGUGCUUGAGGACUGGAGAGGAGACUGGAAAUUUACGGUGUAGCGGUGAAAUGCGUAGAUAUCGUAAGGAAGACCAGUGGCGAAGGCGGGUCUCUGGACAGUUCCUGACGCUGAGGCACGAAGGCCCAGGGGGAGCAAAACGGG